AUUACAGGCAUGAGCCACUGCGCCCGGCCAGAAACAGACAUUCUUAUUCCUACAGAGCCCGUCAUGACAACAGCUGCCCUGCAGCACCUCUUCCAGACAUCACAAUGGGAAACAGGAAAUACGCUGUCCCUCUCCAACCUCUGCCUUCAUCUCCCCUCCCCUUGUACAAGUUCCUUCACAGAAGUUCUUUCACAUAAAUUUUGUGCAAAUGGAUUCCUGUGGACUUCAACUCUGACAAGUCUGAAUCCCAGUGGAAAUGCAAGUUAGCCUCAAACUGAGAACCUCAUACUACAUUCAGAAUAUGUUUUCAUGUUUCCAAAAUGUCACCAACAAUGAGAUGACAGGAACCUGAACCAAAAGGAUGAGAGUAGAGAUGGAAAGUAAAUGUUGUUACAAAGGCUAAAUCAGAAAUUUGUCCCAGAUCUAGUAUGGAUCAUGAAGAAGAAGAUAGAAUGAAAGAACACUCUUACCAUUCUGAGUGCCGAAAGCAGGAGGUGGUUCCUAAAAAUAUGAAGUUUGGGUAUCCUAUACAAUGAGAGAAGAAUGUCUAUCUUCAUUAUGUUCAAGUACCCAGAUAAAUGAACCUGCUGUUAUAAGGGGGAGACAUGACAAGCUUUACGUGUUGAAAAUACAAAGAGCCUGACCCUACAGGAAUCUUUCUUUCUGGCCUUUUUCAUCGAAACAAGGAAAGACUCUAUCUUUUGGGGGACCAGCUUUGUCAGUGACACUUCUGCUGAAGACAAGAUGAAUGAUGCAGGCAAUGUUGAAUGCUACUGGAUAUCAAAACCUGAUAAUUUUUAGGGAUACAGAAAAGAAGAGAGAAGCUUGAACUGUUGAUUCAAGUCCUAUUGAGUGGUCACUAAAUUCACUCAUACUACAAGUUCAGAUACGCAGAGAAAAUACAAAUUCUUUAUUGUCUAUAGCUGAUUGCUUCCUGCCAGGUCUCUAGUCAUUGGUUAACAGGAAUAAACAAGUGUAUUACAUAGUUAGUCUUAGUCCUAUGCAGUAAUUUCUACAGUUCAUUUAGAUAGUAGCCUCUCAUUUGGAGAAAAACACAGUCUCUCAGGUAACCUUCCCCACCCUUGUCUCUCUUCCCAAGAUCUUGUUGAAACCAAGGGCUAAUCUUUUUAGUCACUUGCUUUUUGUUGAUUGUUUUUAACCCAUGUAGCUGAAAGCCACACUGCUAAACACUAUAACUUAACCUUCAUGAGCUCCUUUAGAGAUAAUGCUUCUGAUGUAUAUGUCACCAUGGUAACAAUUGCUUAAGUUGUUUUCAGGAACUUGGGGGUCAGCUUUUGUCCAACUUAAACCAGUUAAGACCACUGACCUUUCAACUGGGCCUGCACAAAUGCUCAAGAGGUGAGCUUUUGAUGUCAAAGAGCCAAAGAUUCUUCUCUCAAAUCGUGAUAACACCACCAUUUUCUGAACAUGCAUCCUAUAAGGAGCCAUGAACACCAACUACACUUGUACACAUCAUCAGUUACCUCAUUUAUCCCUACUGCCAAUCACUUUUCUUCAUGCUUUAGACCACCUCGCUUCUUUACCCCAUGAAUAUCCCUGAGCCAGCCUUAUCUUCAGGGAAGCCGAUUUGAGAGCUGUUCUCCUGUCUCCUCUCUGGGUUUCCCUAUGAAUAAAUCUUUCUCUACUGCAAAACUCAUUAUAUCAGUAAUUUGCUGUCUGCAUGAUGGGCAGAAUGAGCUUGGUUUUGUAUCAAUAUCGGGUAGUAGUGAGAAGGGUGUGUGGGUGAUGCUUCAUAGGUGGAGAAAAGAGGAAAAAGUCUCCCUGUCUCUGCGUGUACCCACCGGUCUCCAGAUCUCUACUGUUGUCCUCCUGCUGGUUGUAAUUCUGUAAUGAUUAAUUUGAUAUGUCAACUUAACUAGGCCAUGAUACUCUCAUAUUUCA
rnacentral:lncRNA from 1 species